CACCCAGCGUGAUCGGCGCCAUUGGCGCUACGGACCGGAAUUGGAACAGGGGCUGGUCCAGAUGCACAUUGGGGAAGCGUAGGGCCGGCAGUCGGGGGACUGUCCGGCCCUGUUUUU
rnacentral:antisense_RNA from 1 species